CCCUCGGGUGAACUGUGGUUAAGGAACUCGGCAAAUUGCCCCCGUAACUUCGGGAGAAGGGGGACCUCUGUUGGUGAUGGGCUUUACGCCUGGAGCUGGUGGGGGUCGCAGUGGCCAGGGGGAAGCGACUGUUUACUAAAAACACAGGUCCGUGCGAAGUCGUAAGACGAUGUAUACGGACUGACGCCUGCCCGGUGCCGGAACGUUAAGGGGACCGCUUAGCCGACGUGAGUUGGCGAAGGUGAGAACUUAAGCGCCGGUAAACGGCGGUGGUAACUAUAACCAUCCUAAGGUAUCGAAAUUCCUUGUCGGGUAAGUUCCGACCUGCACGAAUGGCGUAACGACUUCCCCGCUGUCUCAACCGCAGACCCGGCGAAAUUGCACUACGAGUAAAGAUGCUCGUUUCGCGCAGCAGGACGGAAAGACCCCGGGACCUUCACUACAGCUUGACAUUGGCGUUUGGAACGUCUUGUGUAGGAUAGGUGGGAGACUGGGAAGCUGUCACGCUAGUGAUGGUGGAGUCAUUGGUGAAAUACCACUCUGGUCGUUUUGAACGUCUAACUCUGGUCCGUGAUCCGGAUCGGGGACAGUGUCUGGUGGGUAGUUUAACUGGGGCGGUUGCCUCCUAAAGAGUAACGGAGGCGCCCAAAGGUUCCCUCAGCCUGGUUGGCAAUCAGGUGUUGAGUGUAAGUGCACAAGGGAGCUUGACUGUGAGACUGACAGGUCGAGCAGGAGCGAAAGCUGGGACUAGUGAUCCGGCAUCGGCGUGUGGAAGCGGUGUCGCUCAACGGCUAAAAGGUACCCCGGGGAUAACAGGCUGAUCUUCCCCAAGAGUCCAUAUCGACGGGAUGGUUUGGCACCUCGAUGUCGGCUCGUCGCAUCCUGGGGCUGGAGUAGGUCCCAAGGGUUGGGCUGUUCGCCCAUUAAAGCGGUACGCGAGCUGGGUUUAGAACGUCGCGAGACAGUUCGGUCCCUAUCCGCUGCGCGCGCAGGAGACUUGAAGGGGGCUGUCCCUAGUACGAGAGGACCGGGACGGACGAACCUCUGGUGUGCCAGUUGUACCGCCAGGUGCACGGCUGGUUGGCUACGUUCGGAAGGGAUAACCGCUGAAAGCAUCUAAGCGGGAAGCUCGCCUUGAGAUGAGGUCUCCCACCACGAGAGUGGGUAAGGCUCCCGGUAGACGACCGGGUUGAUAGGCCGGAGGUGGAAGCACGGUAACGUGUGGAGCUGACCGGUACUAAUAGGCCGAGGACUUGACCG
rnacentral:rRNA from 1 species